AUGCAGCAGUUUGGACCCACAGCGAACAGAGUGGGGCCAGCGAGGAGCAGCACCGGGCACAGGGCAGAGAUGCAUCUGCAGUGCUGGGAUGAGCCCAGUUCCAGGCAGGUUUGGCUUUGGGUGACCCCUUCCACCUCCACUGUGCUGGUGGGGUUCUCUGGUGUCUCAUUAAAGGCUGAGUUCUCCACGUGGCUUUUCUUUAUUGAUGGCAGCUCUCCUGUGCUGCCUGUUUCACAAAACCUUUUCUCUCUCAACUGGAUCUGGGGUGAAGUAGAGGAUCCAAGAGCUACGAGAGCCAAACUGAAUGGGUACCACUUCCUGGCGCCACAAAGAGAUGCCGGGGCUGGGACACCGAGCACGAGGCAGGAGAAGUGCAGCACAAAAUUAACUCGGCCACAUCCCCGUGUCUGGCACACGGCAGCCAGGGGCUCUCAGGAGCCCCCUGAAGGCAGCUCCCCGGGAUACCCCGACGUGCUCGGAGCCGCGAGAUGGGGUGAGCGUGGGGCCGAGCUGCUCUCAGCUGCUGGGAGCCCCGCAGCCCCGCAUCGCAGCCCCGCAUUGCAGCCGCGCUGCCAGCGGCCGGGAACCUUGUGCUGUGUGCGUUCCCCGCACAACAGGUGGGUCUGGGGCCGCUUCCCCGCGCUCAGCCCUGAUCCCGCACAAACGGCACCCGGGGCUCAGAGCCGCAGCACCGACGGGUUCGUGCCGCAGCCCCACGGGCGGUUACCGGAGACAAAGUUGCUUUCGCGUCCUCGUCCCCAGCGCUGCCCUCGCCGUGCUGUGACCCCCCGCCCCCAGGGGUCUGGCCGGGAGCUUUUGGCUUUAUUCCGUUUCUUGUUUUCCCGGCAGCCGAGCAUGGGAGCGCUCCCGCUUCCCGCCGAGCCCGGCGCUUUGUGGCUGCCCCGCUUUACCGGCACCGCCGGCGAUGCCCCCACCCCCAGCUCGAGCCGCGCUCCCACCGCGUGGCCGCCGCGAUCCACGUGGAGCCGCGGAGCAACGGCCCGGGAGCAGCCGCCGGGACUCGGUGCUGCCGCUUUGUCCCGCCGCUUUGUCCCGCAGCAUCCCCGCAGCGCGCUGCUCCGCGCAACUUUCGGGGCCCGCGGUUCCCAUCCCCGGGUACGAGCUGCCGCUCCGGCUCCGGUGCUGCGAGAGCGGCGGGACCCCCCACCCCUCCCGGCUCCCGUUGGUACCUGGCAGGGCGCAGAGCAGGCAGCAGGCGGCGGCGAGGCGGAGCAGGGCGCGCCGCGUCCCCUCCAUGCUGGGCCGAUCCGCGCUGCCUCCGCCGGCGGCACCGGGGCGGGACUGGGGCGGGGCGGGCGGCACGUGGGGGCGGCUCCGGACACGCCACUCCCAGCGCCCCCGGCCCGCUCGGUCCCCUCACCCGCGGUGCGGCCCUUCCCUGCCCCGGGCAUCCCCGGUCUGGUCCCCCCGGCGCGGUCCCUCAGCAUCUCCCGGUCCGGUCCCGCAUCGCUUCUGCCGCACCCAGAACUGCGCUUCCACCCCAUAGAGGUGUGGGGAUGA
rnacentral:lncRNA from 1 species